AAAGUUUGACAGACAAUCGCCGGUGGUUUAUGCCACGGGAGGAAAGUCCGGGCUCCGUAGGGCAGGGUGCUGGAUAAUGUCCAGUCGGCGCGAGCUGAAGGAUAGUGCCACAGAAAUGGACCGCCGAUGGCUUCCGCAAGGGAGCACAGGUAAGGAUGGAACCGAGGUGUAAGAGACCCCGAGGAACGCUGGUGACUUCGUUCCUGGUAAACCCCACUUGGAGCAAGACCUAAUGGGACGCAGUUUCUUCUUAUGGAAGAGACAACCUUUGCCCGAGGCGCGUCUGGGUUGGUCGCUGGAGCCGUCCAGUAAUGUACGGCCUAGAUAGAUGAUUGUCACUCAUGGCGGGAGGGUAGUUCCCGUUCAAACCGCGAAGAGUACAGAACCCGGCUUACGGCAAACUUUCAUC
rnacentral:RNase_P_RNA from 1 species